rnacentral:rRNA from 1 species
CAAAUCAGGUAGGACUACCCGCUGAACUUAAGCAUAUCAAUAAGCGGAGGAAAAGAAACUAACAAGGAUUCCCCUAGUAACUGCGAGUGAAGCGGGAAAAGCUCAAAUUUAAAAUCUGGCAGUCUUUGAUUGUCCGAGUUGUAAUCUAGAGAAGCAUUAUCCGC